UGACCCGGGCUCGCCGCGAGUUCGUUGUGUUUGGCGUCCGCCUCGCGUGAGUCGUCGAUGGGAUUGGGUCCAGCGCGGGGAAAACGGGGCGUGGGCAGGGAAAAUAGGCGCGCAGAGUUGCCCACGCGGGGGAAUUGGCGUGCCUACACCUCCCCGGCGACCCUAAAUUGUUUCCGCGCGCAGAUUCAGAGAUAGAAGGAAGGAGAGAUGGAAAGGGAAGAGGGCGGCGGCACCUGGAAUCCUCGGCGGCACCGUGCUGGUCUGUCCAGCUGCGCCCGUCCCUCGUUCCAGCGGCUCCUGCCCCUUCUGCUGCGACCAUGCGCGCUGAUUUCCUCCGCUCCGCCGAUCCGCUCCGACCCCAUCCAGGGGCUCAUCGGCUUGGGCCCCUUCUGCUUCGGCUCCCUGACAGCACCUGCUUCCUCUAAUCCUCUUUCCCGUCAGCCGGUCUGCUCGCAGCACACUGAAAAUGGAUUCUUAUAACAUUGAAUCAAGCAAUGCUGAUUGUUUAGAUUCUCGACCUUUAAAGAAAGCAAAAUGUGAACAGUUGAAUGAUUGCGAUCUAUCACCAUCGCCUCCAUCAUCCACCUCCCUGGCAUCAUCAUGUAAUAACAUUGAAUCAAGCAAUGUUUAUGAUUUAGAUGCUCGGCCCUUGAAGGAAGUAAAAUCUGAACAGAUGAAUGAUCUUGACAUAUCACUGACGCCUCCCUCACCAACCACCCUGGCAUCAUCAUCUCCGGGAAAAGAUCCUUAUACUAUUGAUUCAAUUGUAGCCGAGAAAGUGGCAUGUUCUGAAUGGAUUGACUUUGAAUCAGAUAAUGACAGAAGAAUUCUAUUAGAUGACGAGAAUCAUCAAAAUCAACAUGAACAAUACAAAGUCGAUCAAACAUAUGACUAUCUCCCACAAGAUUAUGAAAUGACAGACCUGGAAUACUGUGCUCAAAUAACAAUAUAAACAUCUUUGGAAUCUGAUAUACUUGUGAAGAUAGAUGACAUCUUUGUCACACAAGCUCAAUUGUCAUGCUUGCUAGAUCCAGAAAAAUUCCUAAAUGAUGAUGUCAUCAGUGCGUAUAUAUGUUGCAUAAAGGAUCAAGCCCAUUUAGAAAGUAGGAAUGAUGUUAAAUUUUACUUUGAGAAUCCCUUUAUUUCUGUAAUGCUAAAAAGGGAUGGCAAGCUUGGAGUAGGUCAAGAUGGUAACCGUAUCACAAAGAUUGUGAGAAACUAUCUAAAGCAUGAAAUGGUUCUAAUUCCAAUAAAUAUCAAAGAAAUACAUUGGUAUUUGGCUAUUAUUAACACACUGAAGUGUGAAAUACAAGUACUUGACUCGUUGUGUUGGGACUCCAACCGAGGUGACCUCGCCGAUACGCUGCAAGGACUACAAUAUCAUUUGAACAUAAUUGGAAGGCAACAAAACAUGAUUAGCCAUAACUGGAAAGACCUCCAGGUUAUUUCAUGGAUAAUCACAGAACAACUACAAGAGCUAAUGCAGAAAUAUGGCUCAUCUUGUGGACUGUUCAUGCUCAAGUUUAUGGAAUACUUGACUGGAGAUUCACUAUCUCAUCCUAUUACACAUGUUUUUGUUUCUUAUCUUAUUGAAUAAUACAAAUUCAAUGCCAUGCUAAUUUUUUACAAGUUGUAAUAAUGAUUGCUACCAUGCAGGAAGAUAUUAAUUGUUUUAGGUACAAGUUAGCAGGCAUACUAUUAUGUUGGAAAACAAACAUAGCACAAACAACUCCUCAAAAUAUCUCAUUGUUGGGAAGUUCAUAUGACCAAAAAGAACCCAAGGCAUCCGAUUCAUUAUCAGAGGAAACAAAAUACCAAUCAUUAAUGUCUGUUCUUUCUAAGCUCAGUGAAAAUGAGUUAGUUGGCUGCCUUUGUGACUACAUCAAAUCAAUUAAUUGUCCAGAGACCUUGGAAAAAGUAUGGGUGCGAAACUCCAAGCCAUAUUCCUUUAGCUUGACUCUCAGGAAGCUGCAAGAAAUACUGAAUGAAGAUAUGCCCAUGGACCGUGAUUGUUUCAAUUUGGUUAUUCGAAAAUUCAUGUUUGACGACAUCCAAAUGAUGAAGAAAACCAAAGGAACAAUAUCAAAGCAUUAUCUAGACAUGCGAUUUUGGAUGAUUACUGAUUUUGGACGACACCCAAACUUCCGUAAAAAGAUAGACGUGGAACAACUCGCAGAAACUGUUAGUAGCUGGCCUGGUGUUAAUUAUAGUGUGUCAAGAUGCAAAUUGGUAAGACAUCACUUCCCUAUACCUAUAAGCAAAACCUAUAAGCACAGUUCUUGCGAUUAUAGCUACUAGCCAUCUUGUACAUUUUAAUGCUCUUGUUCUAACAACUAGCAUUUUGCAGAUUCUUAUACCAAUAGUACAAUUCAACAAAACCUUUAUUCUAUUUAUACUAAACCAAGAUAAAAGAACCGUCUAUAUUUUAGACCCUACUCCACUUAACCCUGUUUACAAAUACAACCCAAAUGCAAGAUAUGUGAAGAAACUUUUAUGUAUUGCUGAAUUCUUGCCAAAAGCCAUGUCAAAAGUAUGCCCUGGAUCUAGAUGGAAUGAGGAUGUUUUCCUAUGGCGUCAAAUAAUCUUAUCUGAUGUUCCAAUUGAAAACAGGGAACUAUCCGGUUAUCUUGUUUCUCUCUUCAUGUGCAUAUGGAAAGAUGAAGAACUACAAUUGCCGGUUUUAAAGGAUGGCUACGAACUAAGAAAGCAAUUUAUGGCACAACUAUUAACUUACAAGGAGAAUGAAUGUGAAGACAAUAUGCCUGCCGGUGUUCGAGACUUUCUUAGGUGUAUCAAUGCUACUCAAAGUUAGAAGUAGUUAUGCAAGCACAGAGAAUAUAUGAGAUCAUGUUGAAACGGUUCUAUUAUUACCAUUGGACCUUUUUUGUUUGUAGGAAUAGUUAUUAUUCGCUCAUUUCUAAUUUGUAUCAUCAGCUCAGUGAGAUGAUGGAUUUUUUGAACUGCUAUGUAUACCGUACUGGUCGUACGCCCAUAAUUUUGUAGUUUCUUUACUGUU